rnacentral:rRNA from 1 species
AUGCUUUACACAUGCAAGUCGAACGGUAGAGGGGGCAACCCCUUGAGAGUGGCGAACGGGUGAGUAAUGUAUCGGAACGUGCCCAGUCGUGGGGGAUAACGUAGUGAAAAUUACGCUAAUACCGCAUACGAUCUAUGGAUGAAAGCGGGGGAUCGCAAGACCUCGCGCGAUUGGAGCGGCCGAUAUCAGAUUAGGUAGUUGGUGGGGUAAAGGCUCACCAAGCCAACGAUCUGUAGCUGGUCUGAGAGGACGACCAGCCACACUGGAACUGAGACACGGUCCAGACUCCUACGGGAGGCAGCAGUGGGGAAUUUUGGACAAUGGACGCAAGUCUGAUCCAGCCAUUCCGCGUGCAGGACGAAGGCCUUCGGGUUGUAAACUGCUUUUGUACGGAACGAAAAAGCUCUUAUUAAUACUAGGAGUCCAUGACGGUACCGUAAGAAUAAGCACCGGCUAACUACGUGCCAGCAGCCGCGGUAAUACGUAGGGUGCAAGCGUUAAUCGGAAUUACUGGGCGUAAAGCGUGCGCAGGCGGUUAUAUAAGACAGAUGUGAAAUCCCCGAGCUUAACUUGGGAACUGCAUUUGUGACUGUAUAGCUAGAGUACGGCAGAGGGGGAUGGAAUUCCGCGUGUAGCAGUGAAAUGCGUAGAUAUGCGGAGGAACACCGAUGGCGAAGGC